rnacentral:rRNA from 1 species
GGGAAUCUUCGGCAAUGGACGGAAGUCUGACCGAGCAACGCCGCGUGAGUGAAGAAGGUUUUCGGAUCGUAAAGCUCUGUUGUAAGAGAAGAACGAGUGUGAGAGUGGAAAGUUCACACUGUGACGGUAUCUUACCAGAAAGGGACGGCUAACUACGUGCCAGCAGCCGCGGUAAUACGUAGGUCCCGAGCGUUGUCCGGAUUUAUUGGGCGUAAAGCGAGCGCAGGCGGUUAGAUAAGUCUGAAGUUAAAGGCUGUGGCUUAACCAUAGUACGCUUUGGAAACUGUUUAACUUGAGUGCAAGAGGGGAGAGUGGAAUUCCAUGUGUAGCGGUGAAAUGCGUAGAUAUAUGGAGGAACACCGGUGGCGAAAGCGGCUCUCUGGCUUGUAACUGACGCUGAGGCUCGAAAGCGUGGGGAGCAAACAGG